rnacentral:rRNA from 1 species
AGAGUUUGAUUCUGGCUCAGAACGAACGCUGGCAGCGUGGAUUAGGCAUGCAAGUCGAACGUGAAGCCGUUGAUCAAUCUUCGGAAAGUGAUUCGGUGGAAAGUGGCGGAAGGGUGAGUAACGCGUGGGCAACCUACCUUUAAGUUGGGGAUAACCCUCCGAAAGGAGGGGUAAUACCGAAUGUGGUGUUCCGGGGCAUCUCGGAAUCACUAGAGAUGGGGCUCCUUCGGGACCUGUCGCUUGUAGAGGGGCCCGCGUGGCAUCAGCUUGUUGGUGAGGUAAAGGCUCACCAAGGCUUACGCCUAGCCGGCCUGAGAGGGUGAUCGGCCACACUGGGACUGAGACACUGCCCAGACUCCUACGGGAGGCUGCAGUCGAGGAUCAUUCGCAAUGCGCGAAAGCGUGACGAUGCGACGCUGCGUGGAGGAUGACGGCCUUAGGGUUGUAAACUCCUGUCAUGAGGGAAAAGACGUCCGGGCGACAAUACCGCCUGGGCCCGAUGGUACCUCAAGAGGAAGCCACGGCUAACUCUGUGCCAGCAGCCGCGGUAAUACAGAGGUGGCGAGCGUUGUUCGGAUUUACUGGGCGUAAAGCGUGCGUAGGCGGUUCGGUGUGUCGGAUGUGAAAGCCCACGGCUCAACUGUGGAGUGGCAUUCGAAACUGCCGAACUAGAGUGCAGGAGGGGAGAGCGGAAUUCUUGGUGUAGCGGUGAAAUGCGUUGAUAUCAAGAAGAACACCGGUGGCGAAGGCGGCUCUCUGGAAUGUUACUGACGCUGAGGCACGAAAGCUAGGGGAGCGAACAGGAUUAGAUACCCUGGUAGUCCCAGCCGUAAACGGUGCGCACUUGGUGUGGGAGGAUUUGACCCCUUCCGUGCCGGAGCUAACGCGUUAAGUGCGCCGCCCGGGGAGUACGGCCGCAAGGUUAAAACUCAAAGAAAUUGACGGGGGCCCGCACAAGCGGAGGAGCAUGUGGCUUAAUUCGAUGCAACGCGAAGAACCUUACCAGGGCUUGACAUCGGGGAGGCUUGCCUCUAACACGUGAAAGCGUGCUUACCAGACAGGUGCUGCAUGGCUGUCGUCAGUUCGUGCCGUGAGGUGUUGGGUUAAGUCCCGCAACGAACGCAACCCCUAUGGUUAGUUGCCACCGGCGGUGAUGAGCCGCCGAGCACUCUAGCCAGACUGCCCGUACAAGCGGGAGGAAGGUGGGGACGACGUCAAGUCAGUAUGGCCCUUACGCCCUGGGCUGCACACGUGCUACAAUGGCCGGUACAGAAGGAUGCAAUGCCGCAAGGCGGAGCCAAUCCCUAAAACCGGCCUCAGUUCGGAUUGGAGUCUGCAACUCGACUCCAUGAAGUUGGAUUCGCUAGUAACGGCGCAUCAGCUACGGCGCCGUGAAUACGUUCCCGGGCCUUGUACACACCGCCCGUCACAUCAUGAAAGCCGUCUGCACCCGAAGUCGCUGAGCCAACCAAUUUAUUGGAGGCAGGUGCCGAAGGUGUGGGUGGUGAUUGGGAUGAUGUCGUAACAAGGUA